AACAAACGCUGGCGGCGUGCCUAAUACAUGCAAGUCGAACGGGUAGCAAUAUCAGUGGCGCACGGGUGAGGAAUACAUAGAUAAUCUGCCUUCGAGUCGGGGAUAACCAGUCGAAAGACUGGCUAAUACCGGAUAAGACCACAGGAGCUGAGGCUCUAGGGGUUAAAGGCUUUUCGCUUGAAGAUGAGUCUAUGCGAGAUUAGCUAGUUGGUGAGGUAAUGGCUCACCAAGGCGACGAUCUCUAACUGGUCUUAGAGGAUGAUCAGUCACACUGGAACUGAGACACGGUCCAGACUCCUACGGGGGGCAGCAGUAGGGAAUAUUGCGCAAUGGGGGAAACCCUGACGCAGCGACGCCGCGUGAGUGAUGAAGGCCUUCGGGUCGUAAAGCUCUGUCGUAUGGGAAUAACACAAUGAAUGUACCAUGCAAGAAAGGAUCGGCUAACUUCGUGCCAGCCGCCGCGGUAACAC
rnacentral:rRNA from 1 species